GUUCCCCGUUCGGGGGACAGGGUGACUAGGUGGUGCAUGGUUGUCGUCAGCUCGUGUCGUGAGAUGUUGGGUUAAGUCCCGCAACGAGCGCAACUCUCGCCUCUAGUUGCCAGCAUUCGGUUGGGCACUCUAGAGGGACUGCCGGCGACAAGUCGGAGAAGUGGGGAUGACGUCAAAUCAUCAUGCCCCUUAUGACCUGGGCUACACACGUGCUACAAUGGGCGGUACAAAGGGCUGCGAACCCGCGAGGGGGAGCGAAUCCCAAAAAGCCGCUCUCAGUUCGGAUUGCAGGCUGCAACUCGCCUGCAUGAAGCCGGAAUCGCUAGUAAUCGCGGAUCAGCAUGCCGCGGUGAAUACGUUCCCGGGCCUU
rnacentral:rRNA from 1 species